AUUAGAUCUGUAACUUCGGGAAAAGGAUUGGCUCUGAUGUUGUAGCUUAGGGGCCCUCGUGUGAACGCCUAGGAGCUGUCUCGACUGACCGGGCAACUGGUUGGACGAGCGGUUCCGAACGCUGGAUCGCUUGGGACGCUUUCAUCGGCUUACCCUUUGCAACGAAACAACAAAUCAGAACUGAAGCGGACAAGGGGAACCCAACUGUUUA
rnacentral:rRNA from 1 species